GGCCCCCCGCUACCUGGCCGAGUCACUUCCAGUAGUCAUGUAGUUGAGCUGGCAGACGGACGGCGAGCAGAGAGCGACCCGAUAUGGAUCCUUCCGCCAGACCCGCUCACGUGACGAGAGGGAGUUAGUUGAUUAAUUAACAGAAAAAAAGAAAACAGAUAAUAAAGAUAAAAAAAAAAAAAAAAACUGAAGUAAAUUUGUGAUCCAGAAAGCAUACUUUAGCUUUUCUGAAAUGAGAGCUGGAUGAUUAGUGAAAAAAAAAAUAGUGUUGAGGAUUAUUUGUGCGAUUCUGCAUAAUCACUUAACCCUUAGGAAUCCAGCCAAAGAAAC